rnacentral:rRNA from 1 species
AAAUUGAAGAGUUUGAUCAUGGCUCAGAUUGAACGCUGGCGGCAGGCCUAACACAUGCAAGUCGAACGGUAACAGGAAGCAGCUUGCUGCUUCGCUGACGAGUGGCGGACGGGUGAGUAAUGUCUGGGAAACUGCCUGAUGGAGGGGGAUAACUACUGGAAACGGUGGCUAAUACCGCAUAACGUCGCAAGACCAAAGAGGGGGACCUUCGGGCCUCUUGCCAUCAGAUGUGCCCAGAUGGGAUUAGCUUGUUGGUGAGGUAACGGCUCACCAAGGCGACGAUCCCUAGCUGGUCUGAGAGGAUGACCAGCCACACUGGAACUGAGACACGGUCCAGACUCCUACGGGAGGCAGCAGUGGGGAAUAUUGCACAAUGGGCGCAAGCCUGAUGCAGCCAUGCCGCGUGUAUGAAGAAGGCCUUCGGGUUGUAAAGUACUUUCAGCGGGGAGGAAGGUGUUGCGGUUAAUAACCGCAGCAAUUGACGUUACCCGCAGAAGAAGCACCGGCUAACUCCGUGCCAGCAGCCGCGGUAAUACGGAGGGUGCAAGCGUUAAUCGGAAUUACUGGGCGUAAAGCGCACGCAGGCGGUCUGUCAAGUCGGAUGUGAAAUCCCCGGGCUCAACCUGGGAACUGCAUUCGAAACUGGCAGGCUUGAGUCUUGUAGAGGGGGGUAGAAUUCCAGGUGUAGCGGUGAAAUGCGUAGAGAUCUGGAGGAAUACCGGUGGCGAAGGCGGCCCCCUGGACAAAGACUGACGCUCAGGUGCGAAAGCGUGGGGAGCAAACAGGAUUAGAUACCCUGGUAGUCCACGCCGUAAACGAUGUCUACUUGGAGGUUGUGCCCUUGAGGCGUGGCUUCCGGAGCUAACGCGUUAAGUAGACCGCCUGGGGAGUACGGCCGCAAGGUUAAAACUCAAAUGAAUUGACGGGGGCCCGCACAAGCGGUGGAGCAUGUGGUUUAAUUCGAUGCAACGCGAAGAACCUUACCUGGUCUUGACAUCCACAGAAGAAUCCAGAGAUGGAUUUGUGCCUUCGGGAACUGUGAGACAGGUGCUGCAUGGCUGUCG